rnacentral:lncRNA from 1 species
GUUGUUGGUCGACGACAAGCAAGAACAAAAGGGGGAAAACCCUAGCUUUCAAGAAUUCUCAAGAUUUGGAAGGAAUUGAGAGCCCAAAUCGAUGCAAGAACCCGAAUUGUCAACCAUCUAAGUUCUAACAACAAUAGGCGUGAAGGAGGAAAGCUCUAACACUAGUAAAGCGGAAGGAGCACAAGAUCGAGAAUGCGCGUGAAGGAGGAAAGCUCUAACACUAGUAAAGCGGAAGGAGCACAAGAUCGAGGUAAAGCACCUCUAUAGGCGAUUUGGAGAUAUGGGACGAGCACAUGUUCAAGCCUUAAGAUACCAUGCGCUUCCGCAACUUAUAUGCAUGCUUUUGGAUCGUGUUUAUUACUUGUUGACUUGUUGAAAUGUUUUAGAAUUAAAAACUUGUCGUUUUUGUUGGGAUAGUU